rnacentral:rRNA from 1 species
UCGAAAGAGAACCUGCACACAGGUGCUGCAUGGCUGUCGUCAGCUCGUGUCGUGAGAUGUUGGGUUAAGUCCCGCAACGGGCGCAACCCUUGUCAUUAGUUGCUACAUUCAGUUGGGCACUCUAAUGAGACUGCCGGUGACAAACCGGAGGAAGGUGGGGAUGACGUCAAGUCCUCAUGGCCCUUAUAGGUGGGGCUACACACGUCAUACAAUGGAUGGUACAAAGGGUCGCAACCCGCGAGGGGGAGCCAAUCCCAUAAAGCCAUUCGUAGUCCGGAUCGCAGUCUGCAACUCGACUGCGUGAAGUCGGAAUCGCUAGUAAUCGCGGAUCAGCAUGUCGCGGUGAAUACGUUCCCGGGUCUU